rnacentral:rRNA from 1 species
GAUGAACGCUGGCGGCGUGCCUAAUACAUGCAAGUCGAGCGAAUGGAUUAAGAGCUUGCUCUUAUGAAGUUAGCGGCGGACGGGUGAGUAACACGUGGGUAACCUGCCCAUAAGACUGGGAUAACUCCGGGAAACCGGGGCUAAUACCGGAUAACAUUUUGAACCGCAUGGUUCGAAAUUGAAAGGCGGCUUCGGCUGUCACUGAUGGAUGGACCCGCGUCGCAUUAGCUAGUUGGUGAGGUAACGGCUCACCAAGGCAACGAUGCGUAGCCGACCUGAGAGGGUGAUCGGCCACACUGGGACUGAGACACGGCCCAGACCCCUACGGGAGGCAGCAGUAGGGAAUCUUCCGCAAUGGACGAAAGUCUGACGGAGCAACGCCGCGUGAGUGAUGAAGGCUUUCGGGUCGUAAAACUCUGUUGUUAGGAAAGAACAAGUGCUAGUUGAAUAAGCUGGCACCUUGACGGUACCUAACCAGAAAGCCACGGCUAACUACGUGCCAGCCGCCGCAGUAA